UGCUGCUUGAGCAACACUCGGCGGGACUCGGGCGUCUCCUCCUCUUCAAGGUGCAUUCCAGCUCUCAGCCUGUCGCCCCCGGCGGGAACUUUGCCUCGCUGGUGCUCGGUCUAGGCCGAAUCCACUUAGCGGGUCACGGGACGGAUCCGGGAUUAGUACCGGCAGGCUGGGGAGUGCUACCGCGGGAGGCUAGGGAGGGUUUCCAGCGCCCGAGUACUCGUUGGGGUGGCUGCGAGGUGGCCAGCAGUACUCGUUGGGUGGAAGCCCGAUGAAAUAUAUUCUAAGUCCCCAAGACUGAGGACCCUUAUUUUGACCCGAGAGUUCGAGUCCUCCGGGGCUCGAGCACGAGUUGGAUCUAAAACUUUAACUUAGAACAACUCUCAGCAACGGAUAUCUUGGCUCUUGCAACGAUGAAGAACGCAGCGAAAUGCGAUACGUAGUGUGAAUUGCAGAAUUCCGCGAAUCAUCGAGUUUUUGAACGCAAGUUGCGCCCGAGGCUUGUCCGAGGGCAUUUCCGCUAGAGCGUCACCGCGCCCCCCCACCACAACUCCCGAAUGCGGAGUUUUGAGUGGAACUGGCCGUCCCGGCAAUCGGGUCGGCUGAAAUGGAGGGAAUUUAGCCGCCGUGGCAUCACUUGCCCCGCGAUCAGGUGCGAUCUCGAAAGAGUCAUUCCAAGUGCGGGGCUCCCAGUGAGCCCGAGUGCGUGCCCCGAGUUCCACAGCAGGCUACCUUGAACAACACUUGGGCCAGCAAUGGCCCCAAGUGCUGCAAAGCGUAAAGAGAGGUAACGCAUCAGACCUCUAAUCGGAAAAGACUACCCGCCGAGUUUAAGCAUAUCAAUAAGCGGAGGA
rnacentral:rRNA from 1 species